UCCUGGCUCAGAUUGGACGCUAGCGGGAUGCCUUACACAUGCAAGUCGAACGGCAGCACGGACUUCGGUCUGGUGGCGAGUGGCGAACGGGUGAGUAAUGUAUCGGAACGUGCCUAGUAGCGGGGGAUAACUACGCGAAAGCGUAGCUAAUACCGCAUACGCCCUACGGGGGAAAGCAGGGGAUCGCAAGACCUUGCACUAUUAGAGCGGCCGAUAUCGGAUUAGCUAGUUGGUGGGGUAAUGGCUCACCAAGGCGACGAUCCGUAGCUGGUUUGAGAGGACGACCAGCCACACUGGGACUGAGACACGGCCCAGACUCCUACGGGAGGCAGCAGUGGGGAAUUUUGGACAAUGGGGGAAACCCCGAUCCAGCCAUCCCGCGUGUGCGAUGAAGGCCUUCGGGUUGUAAAGCACUUUUGGCAGGAAGGAAACGUCAUGGGUUAAUACCCUGUGAAACUGACGGUACCUGCAGAAUAAGCACCGGCUAACUACGUGCCAGCAGCCGCGGUAAUACGUAGGUGGCAAGCGUUAAUCGGAAUUACUGGGCGUAAAGCGUGCGCAGGCGGGUUUGUGAAAAAAAAAAUGUGAAAUCCCCCAACCUCAACUUUUGGGAGCUGCAUUUUUAACUACCGAGCUAGAGUGUGUCAGAGGGAGGUGGUAUUCCCGCGUGGAAGCAGUGAAUGGGGGUAAAUAUCGUAGGAACACCCAUGGGCGAAGGCAGCCUCCUGGAUAACACUGACGCUCAUGCACGAAAGCGUGGGGGAGCAAACAGGAUUAAUCCUGUAUCCCCCCUAACAUGCAUAUUUGUGGGACAGCUUCGGCUUAAUAGCGCACCUAACUGAUACCUGGAUACGCCAAUAAAUCAAGAUACGGACGCAACCGGGAUGGAAUCGACGACGCACUCGGGUCGACUGUUGAUGCCGGUUCCACUUCAGCUAGCCAAAUAUGUGUCUCAAAUGACACAGGACUCAUGUGUGCUCUCGUCGCGGAGUGUAUAUCCACACCACCU
rnacentral:rRNA from 1 species